GAUGAACGCUAGCUACAGGCUUAACACAUGCAAGUCGAGGGGAAACGACAUCGAAAGCUUGCUUUUGAUGGGCGUCGACCGGCGCACGGGUGAGUAACGCGUAUCCAACCUGCCCAUCACUUGGGAAUAACCUUGCGAAAGUAAGACUAAUACCCAAUGACAUCCCACGAAGACAUCUGAAUGGGAUUAAAGAUUUAUCGGUGAUGGAUGGGGAUGCGUCUGAUUAGCUUGUUGGCGGGGUAACGGCCCACCAAGGCAACGAUCAGUAGGGGUUCUGAGAGGAAGGUCCCCCACAUUGGAACUGAGACACGGUCCAAACUCCUACGGGAGGCAGCAGUGAGGAAUAUUGGUCAAUGGGCGAGAGCCUGAACCAGCCAAGUAGCGUGCAGGAUGGCGGCCCUAUGGGUUGUAAACUGCUUUUAUAAGGGAAUAAAGUGGGUCUCGUGAGACUUUUUGCAUGUACCUUAUGAAUAAGGACCGGCUAAUUCCGUG
rnacentral:rRNA from 1 species